rnacentral:rRNA from 1 species
GAUGAACGCUGGCGGCGUGCCUAAUACAUGCAAGUCGAGCGAACAGACGAGGAGCUUGCUCCUCUGACGUUAGCGGCGGACGGGUGAGUAACACGUGGAUAACCUACCUAUAAGACUGGGAUAACUUCGGGAAACCGGAGCUAAUACCGGAUAAUAUAUUGAACCGCAUGGUUCAAUAGUGAAAGACGGUUUUGCUGUCACUUAUAGAUGGAUCCGCGCCGCAUUAGCUAGUUGGUAAGGUAACGGCUUACCAAGGCACCGAUGCGUAGCCGACCUGAGAGGGUGAUCGGCCACACUGGAACUGCGACACGGUCCAGACUCCUACGGGAGGCAGCAGUAGGGAAUCUUCCGCAAUGGGCGAAAGCCUGACGGAGCAACGCCGCGUGAGUGAUGAAGGUCUUCGGAUCGUAAAACUCUGUUAUUAGGGAAGAACAAAUGUGUAAGUAACUAUGCACGUCUUGACGGUACCUAAUCAGAAAGCCACGGCUAACUACGUG